rnacentral:rRNA from 1 species
GUGAUCAUCGAAUCUUUGAACGCACCUUGCGCUCCUUGGUAUUCCGAGGAGCAUGCCUGUUGAGUGUCAUUAAUAUAUAUAUCAAACUUCUCUUGUCGAGUGGUUUUGGAUGUGGGGGUUUUGCUGGGCCACUUUAAAAGGGGUUCAGCUCCCCUGAAAUGCAUUAGCAGAACAACCCUGUUCAUUGGUGUGAUAACUAUCUACGCUAUUGAAUGUGAGGGGCAGUUCAGCUUUCUAACGGUCCUUGGACAAUUCAUCAUUAAUGUGACCUCAAAUCAGGUAGGACUACCCGCUGAACUUAAGCAUAUCAAUAAGCGGAGG